UCCCAACACUGUUUGAAGCCUCCCCUUCUUUUGGAUUGUUUUUCAUUUUAGGGGCAGCGGCAACUCCUCUCUCCCCACCUCGCUCGCAUCAUGUCGCUCCUCACCUUUUGCACUGCUUCUCCUUCUCUCUCUCUUACUCAAGGGAGAGACAAAGGCCAUAAGUGGAGGAAGAUAAAAGAAAUGGUGGAGAAAUCAGGGGUCUCUUCAUCUGUAUGUUAUCCCGUGGAUUCUUUGAAAAAGGGGAAUUGGGUUAAGCUCAUUUGUGGGGCUAGCUUUGAGGAUGUUGCUGAUAUCAGGAAUCUGUCCCUCGUCUACACUCUUGCUGGAGUUGAUUGCAUAGAUUGUGCGGCCGAUGCUUCUAUUGUGAAUGCUGUUAAUGAAGGAAUUUCGGUUGCGAAAGACAUUGUUUCACUAAGGAGUCCUUGGAUAAUGAUUAGCGUGAAUGAUGAUGUGGAUCUUCACUUUCGCAAGGCUGAAUUCGAUCCAUCGGAAUGCCCACCGAAUUGUUCGAGGCCAUGUGAGAAGGUUUGCCCUGCUGAUGCUAUAACAUUGCAGAGAGUAACAAGCGAUGAAGGACUUCCUUUGGAGAUUGCUUCUAGUAGUAAACUCGAGGGUGGAGUUAUACGUGGGAGAUGCUAUGGUUGUGGGCGUUGCUUUCCAGUUUGCCCAUAUGACAAAAUCAGAUCAAACACAUAUGUCAGAUGCCCCACAGCUACAGCUGAGCUUUUGAAGAGAAACAAUGUCGAUGCCAUUGAGAUACACACAAGUGCAAGGGAAAUCAACUCUUUUGAGAAGCUUUGGAACAGCUUGGCAGAUUUUGUGGGUCAUUUGAAUCUAGUAGCAGAUGUAAUACAGGUUAGCUUACCAGAUUUGGGGGAAUCGACUGUAGAUGCGAUGAAUAAAAUGUACACAAUUAUGAAUCCAUUCCUGAAGUGCUAUAAUUUAUGGCAGCUCGAUGGGCGGCCAAUGAGUGGUGACAUUGGAAGAGGUGCAACAAGGGAUGCAAUUGCCUUUGCUGCUCGUAUGUCUUCAAUAAAAGACAAACCUCAUGAAAAACAUAUUUCUUGUGCAAGGAUUCCUGCAAUUAGCUGGUGGAACAAAUUUCCAUACGGUGGGUGGUUUGAAGGAAGCUGGGCUUUUUCAGACUCCUAAUAUCCAAGAGGAUGGGAAUGAUGUUCAUCAAGCUGAAAGGUUCUCUGGUUGGCCGUAUGCUUCAAUUGGUGGGGUGGCUUAUGGAGGGUAUGCCCGAAAGAUUGUGGGGAGGGUCUUAAACAAGAUGCAGUCUGAGGAAGGGCCUGCCCAUAUUGAGAGGUACCCAGAUUAUUUAGUGGAGGCACUUGAAGAAGCCCUUUCCUUAGUAGGCCCUGUCAAGUGCUACACCCUGUCCUAGCAAAGGGUACAUAUUGAAGCUAUCAUUGUAUUUCAGGUUAAUGGGCAACCACUAAAUGUAGAGUGAAUGUUACGAUCUUAAAUGAAUCCGGCUUUUUUUCUCUGAUAAAUGAAAACGACACGUCUUGUGCUUCAAAC